UUUUUAAAACUGUAUACAAGACCAAUGUGAAGCUUCUUACAAAAAUAUUUAAUAGGACCGUGCAAGUGGGAAAUAUACGGUAAUAACAAGAUUAGUUUAUAAUCAUUGCCGUUUCUAUUGCAAUUGUCAAUCAUGUUCACGUUUUUUAAGAAAUACGCCUGUAUUGGGUAUCCUUGAAGGCAACGCAUCGGUCCCAAAACUAUUGUUUAACGUCAGACAAGGUAAUAAGGUUAUUAAGGAUGAGCUAGUUGUCAAACCUGGAACACCACUGCAAAUGGAAAUUUUUUUAAGUGAAGAGGCAGCAUCAGUUUAUGGGCUUCUCGUUACUCAUAUGCAAGUUACCGACACCAAGAGCCAAGAGGAAACAAUUAUCUAUAAUGGAUGCUCUGUUGAUCCGUACCUUUUCGAGAACUUUGAGACGAUAAACGGACACUUUUUAUCUGCCAAAUUUCGAGCCUUUAAGUUUCCGGAAAGCAGCUAUGUACAAUUUCAUGGUACUGUCAGUGUUUGUGUGGGUAAAUGUCGU